UUUCCCCAGCCACUCUGGGUGGCUUCCAACAAAAUAUUAAUAUAAGGGAGGUUCUUUUUAAUGUUUGAAGCUUUAUUGUGUUUUUAAUAUUUUGUUGAGAGCCACCCAGUGUGGCUGGGGCAA